CUGCCCCUAAGUUCUGAUGGACGGGCGGGAUCAGGAGCAUUCCUGCCCCCUGGGCUCUGAGGGGCGCGCGGGUUGCUCGACGUGAGGAGCCGGCAAAGAAUAUCAGGCUCAUGUGGUGGAGGUGAUCAAAGGGGAAGAAAUCUCUGUUUCCGGCCUUUAAAGGAAGAUGGGCUUAUAAACUAAGUGCCCUGUUCUGUGUCUGCUCCUCAUUUUCAUGGCUGUAAGAUUGGAAAAAACCUCCAAGAUCAGUUCCAGCUAGGUUUAAGCUUUCAAGUUCUAAGAUUUCAUCAAUUUUAAGAAGCAACCAAAUCCCAUAGAAGUUGUGCGAACGGCACAGUGCUCUCAACACACACCACCGCAGAGGGAGACCCCUACAACUAAUGCACAAACUUUCUCUACAACAAACCCGGAGGAUAAGUUACUCUUGACAAAUUGUUCUUGACCUGUAAUGUCACAAAGUGUACUCUGGGAAUGACUUUAUGGAUAAGAGACUGAGUUAUCAAACCAUUUACAAGGAAAAUGUAGCUUUUAUUUACAGAGCAUUUGCUAUACACAUGUAAAAAACAUGCUGGUGCAAUUCUACCAAAAUUCUCUUCUAAGCAUUUUCCUCAUCUAAAGGAAAACAUGAGUGUUGACGCUAUUACCAGAUCAGUGCAAUAUGUGCAGGUAUAAAGUAUAAUUAAGUUUUCAUGUUUUGUUAACUGUCUCCUCUCAUAGACCAAACUGGUAUAUCAGCUGGCAGAACUGCACUGUUACCAAUGCAGCACUUCCAAUUCACAUCAGCAGAUGAGCUGGCUUUGUCCUUCUCUUUCAGGUAUUGGCAUAGCUUCUUUAGGAUCUUUAUUUGCCCUAAUUAGACAAAAUCUGUAUGUCACAAGAAGUAUUGGCAAAAAAAAAAAAGUCUGGAUUGUUUUGUCUUCCCUCCAGUAUUAAAAAAGAAAAAUAGACCAGCUGUUCUUUUCCAAUUAAACACUAGAGAACGAAUUACUGUUCAUCGGUGCAGUGAGUACCAGCAAAAAGCCCCACUGGACAUUGAAGUUUCCCUGAAAGAAAACAACAAGGCAAUGGCAUUCUUUCAGCAGGAAUGUAGCGGAGGCAGGAUUUACCCCCAGAUGUCCUUUAUAAACAGUGUGACCCAAGGCAGAACACAGCCUUUCAGCACUGGAAAAGUCAAUUUCUCUAGAACAAGGUGCUAGUUGUAACACUUGUUUUACUAAAUUGAGGAAUGUCAGCUCAUUUGCUGAUACCUGGGCUUAGGGUCUGGGGUGUCUUUUUCUUCUAAAGUGAACAUGCAGGAAUUAAUCUUCAAAGAGAUCUGUAGAAGUAGGGAGGGAAGAAGAAAUUUGAUGAAAAUGAAUUCAUAGAAGAUCUGAAGCUGAAGAUUUAUGUUCAAGUUUGGCAUUCCCCAAAAUGGUUCUAACAAGUGUACUGAGGUGAUUAUUAUAACCCUCUGCUGCAGUGCUUCAGGAUCUGCAGUGGAGAAAAGAUCUGCAAAAUUAACCGUAGUUAAUCUAAAUUUUCAUAGGACUGUUCAUAAGCCUGACCAUCUUCAGGAAUAGCAUUUGGAGACAGGAUAGUUGAUUUUAUCCAGGAAAUACAAUAUGGUCACCUGGAAUUUACUUUUAUGACCUUUUUUUUUUUUUUUUAAUUGUUUAAGGGCAGUUGCUUAUUCAGGAAUUACUUCCUUAUAAUUUUUUCUGUGUAGCAGCAACUGAGACAAGGAAAAGUUUUGUGUUUUUUAAUUUAGUUAUUAAUCUUUGGAUUUCUCCACACUUAAUUGUGGUCUUAUAUUAGCACGUGCUCUGUUUUCACAAUUUAAAUUGGUAUUGCUUUCUAAUUUAAUUUCUAGCUAGAGGGGGAAAUGCUUCCAUUAACAGAAAGGCAUUUGAAGUGAGCCUGGAAUUUGCUUUUUUCCUUGAAGUUUUCUUUUUAAGUAUUUAUUUAUUUUCCUUAAAUGACGAGAGUUUCUGUAUACAUGGCACUUCCUUUUGAGUGGUAGCUACCAUGUGAAAGAGUUGUCACUCUUGUCAUGUAAAAACAAGCUCCACAGAGCUCUCCUUUGCAGAAAGCUGCAACAGCAUCUGGGUGCUGCUUCCUAUCCUGACAAAUGCUUUGGAUAGUGAUGUGGAGGUAAAUCCACGCAAAAUGUUACGGCUGCUAAAUUUAAUCUUCAGCUUUUGUCCUUCUUUGCCUUAUUUUCCCCUGAAGUGCAGUGUGCUCUGGCUGUUACCUGGGAACAAUGACUGUUCAUUUCAGUUAAUAGAAAAGAAAUCCUAGAGCAGUUGCUCACAUGGAGGAAUAGUUUUAUAAAGCAUUUGGAUACUUUUGACUGCAGCACAUUUUGCUCUGUCCUGCUCUUGCUCAGCCCUGCAUCUCUCUUAGUAGUCGCUUGCUGUUUCCUUCUGCCCCCCAUGUCUCUUCCUGCAGGCACACUGCAUGCUGCCCCAAGGCUUGUGUUCUCCAGGGAAGCACGAAGUCCUUAACAACUAUUUUCCCACUGCUGUGUAUCACCAACCUUUUGGAAAAGCAUUCUCUAUGCUGGAAAUUGUGGAAGGGGCUGACAGCUGGUCUGUGAGCCAGAGGAGCGAAAAAGAAUUUAAGAGUGAAGAAGAGGACAGAAAAAGAAUUUAAUAAGAUUUGUGUUUACCCAGGAAGGAAAAAAGAAGACAAGGUCAUUCACAUGGGAACCAAGAGAACAGAGAUAAACACCAGACACCUGCAGUUGGAAAAACAAAACUACUAUGUGUUUCUAAAAUUCUUGUAGAAAGCCUGCCUAAAAACGGUGACUUCGUACCAAUGAACAGGAUGAGCUGUGUAAUUGUAAACAAUGAAUGAAGUGGACGCUGUGUUAAAGAAUGUAAAAGAAGCGAAUUCACAGCCCUAAUAAAAAGGCCAUUUUACCUGUUGCUA